UAAUGUAUGGGGAUCUGCCCGAUAGAGGGGGAUAACUACUGGAAACGGUGGCUAAUACCGCAUAAUGUCUACGGACCAAAGCAGGGGCUCUUCGGACCGGUUGCACUAUCGGAUGAACCCAUAUGGGAUUAGCUAGUAGGUGGGGUAAAGGCUCACCUAGGCGACGAUCUCUAGCUGGUCUGAGAGGAUGAUCAGCCACACUGGGACUGAGACACGGCCCAG
rnacentral:rRNA from 1 species